rnacentral:rRNA from 1 species
UACAGAGGUGGCGAGCGUUAUUCGGAAUUAUUGGGCGUAAAGGGCGCGUAGGCGGCCGCGAAAGUCCUGGGUGAAAUCCCUCGGCUCAACCGAGGAACUGCCUUGGAAACUACACGGCUCGAGGCCGGGAGAGGGUGGCGGAAUUCCCAGUGUAGCGGUGAAAUGCGUAGAUAUUGGGAGGAACACCGGUGGCGAAGGCGGCUACCUGGACCGGUUCUGACGCUGAUGCGCGAAAGCGUGGGGAGCAAACAGG